rnacentral:rRNA from 1 species
AGUGAACGCUGGCGGUAGGCCUAACACAUGCAAGUCGAACGGCAGCACAGUAAGAGCUUGCUCUUACGGGUGGCGAGUGGCGGACGGGUGAGGAAUACAUCGGAAUCUACUUUUUCGUGGGGGAUAACGUAGGGAAACUUACGCUAAUACCGCAUACGACCUACGGGUGAAAGCAGGGGAUCUUCGGACCUUGCGCGAUUGAAUGAGCCGAUGUCGGAUUAGCUAGUUGGCGGGGUAAAGGCCCACCAAGGCGACGAUCCGUAGCUGGUCUGAGAGGAUGAUCAGCCACACUGGAACUGAGACACGGUCCAGACGCCUACGGGAGGCAGCAGUGGGGAAUAUUGGACAAUGGGCGCAAGCCUGAUCCAGCCAUACCGCGUGGGUGAAGAAGGCCUUCGGGUUGUAAAGCCCUGUUGUUGGGAAAGAAAAGCAGCAGGUUAAUACCCCGCUGUUCUGACGGUACCCAAAGAAUAAGCACCGGCUAACUUCGUG